rnacentral:rRNA from 1 species
AUGUGGUUUGUGCAUAAACAAGUCAUUUUGACUAAGGAUAACCUGGCAAAACGCAACUGGGUGGGCUCAUUUAGGUGUAGCUUUUGCGAUCAUAACGAAAGCAUCAAACACCUCUUUCUCGAUUGUCCGUUGGCUAAGAUUCUGUGGCGGUCGAUUCAUAUUGCGUUCAAUAUCAAUCAGCCCACCUCUAUCAAUAUGUUAUUUGGAACAUGA